ensembl:lncRNA
AAGCCAAGCGAAUUGGAGUCUAAAGCUUUUCCUUGAAUUCAAGGCUGUGUUUACUGCAGUCAGGGCGAGGGAAGGAGGCAACCCCAAAGCCCUCCCUCCUCCUCUUCCCCCACCCUGCAAGCCCCAGGCUUGAAACUUGAUUUAAAAAAAAAAUACAAGAUUGAAUUUCAGUUUGCAGGAUUAGGGAGACGACUUUUAGGGGCUGCUUGUUGGAAAAAAAGCAAAGCAAAGCAGCUGGGAGGGAUUAGGCUGAGCUGGCGUCUGCACUUUCAACUGAUUCAAUUUUGCUCCACAAGACAUUGUAUCUGAGCCUUUCUGGAGACUAUUCAAAGCAAAUCAUUUUCAUUUUACCAUUUGGAGGUGCUUUUCCUGUUAGUGAUCCCUAUAUAGCACCGGAUUUGUGCAGCAGCCCACAGACUGCGUCCCAAGCAGAGCAGAACCUAGGAAAGAGUAAGAAGCCAUGAUGAAGUGCCAACUAGAAGGAGACCUUCCACCAAACUUCGCUCCAAUCUGUUUUGUUAUGACAAGAACAAGUGGUUUUAACAAGUAUGCCAUAAAUCAGGGGCGCGCGCUCCAGCCCGGAGCCUUCCAGCAGAAUAGGUACCUUAGGAAAUCCUGGGUUAUGAUAGACUCUUGGAAUUCAGCUUAAUACCACCACCAGGCUGCGGAAGAGACAGCAUGCAGACAUAGAGAUAAUUCACAGCUUGGGUUCUUUUCAAAGUCGCGUGCCCACUGCCAAGAGGAUCAGCCCCAUGGAAUCCCACUUGUUCAAUCCUGCUGCUGUGUGCCUACCAGGACACACUCAGGGGCUGCUGAGCCAGCAUCCAAGCGCAGAUUCCGAGGACACAUAAAGUUCUCCCUCUGUACUGCGGAGCUGUGCCCGUAGGUACCGUGAAUGGACACAGUUUUCCAGGCAGGCAUCAGAGGAGAGCAUGCCACUUGGACCAGCAGCGUAUCACAUCAACACAACUGCGUGGACAAGUCUUCAUAAGUGCUCGAUUUCUAUGCAAAAUGGAAAAACAGAUAGAAAACAAGGCCCCAUGGAUGGUAAACUAUGAAAUGUCCAACACAAGCACAUGCCAAGGGCCAGGACUGCAGCCAGUUUCUGUGCUGGACUGAGCUUUUACUUUGCUUCCCAUCUCAGUUGUUCCUGGUUACGCUGCUCCCAUGUGCUCUCACACCUCUGAACACUGAUUUUGGGUCUCAGAACUCUGGGACUGACUUCUCUCAUGCCAACAUCCAUCCAGAAUAACACAACCAAUUGGAAUUAUCCCUGAAGCACUGGCAGGCAAGAGAAGCACGAACCCAAUGAUUCAUCUUUUAGUUAGGCAGUUAUCUCUAUUACAACAGAAACCCAAUUUUCAGGCCUUUUCUUAGACUUCACCUAGCCAGACUCCCCUGUUGCUGACUUUGGGGAGGUCCCACUGAGAUCAGACCCCCCUGCGAUGUUCUUACAGUGUGGGCAGGUGGUGGCGAUGGUUCUUGGUCUCAUGACAUUUAUGUGUCAGAGCAGGAUGUUACCUGUGAGCUUGUAUCAAACGCAGCAUCCAUCCGGAGAUUACCUCUUGUGCAGGACUCUACACAGCAGGGCAGUUUUGGAAUAAGUUUGGAGACUUUCAAGGAAGAUCCCUCUGGGAUGGGGUCAUCUUGCCAACAAAAGGCUGAUUCACAGAUGAGAUGACUAAGUACACCAAGCAUUCCUAGGCCCCUGCGUUACUCACAGGUCUUUCAUCUGACGCCAUGUCCCAGCGCAGCCAAAAGGCAUGGUGCAGCCAAGUGACAGCAGAGGGGAGCCAUGAUGGGGGAGGCCCCAGGUCCUUCCCCUGCCACCCCAUCACUCACAGCUGCUGAGGCCCCUUCCCUACCCACUGAGGCCCCUUCCCUACCUGCAUCUGUCCAGCUUUGGAGAAAGACAUGCCAUGAGACCCGGAGGCAGCCAAGUCUUUAUCCUCGUAAAUGGAUUUGAUCUUUUUUUUUUUUCUUUUAAAUGCAACAUUUCACACAUUGCAGAUUAGUUUUUAGAAUAUAUCACAGUCAGUUAAUGAGGCAGAUUAAUCUUACACUUGUUUCAGCUAGAGCCAGAAGUGGCAAUAAUAGCAGAUCCAGCCAGUAAGAGCAGCAUGCCUCCAGGCACCCCUGGAAUCUCUUGUGUAAGGCUGACUUGCAAAGUAGGCAGCUAAAUUGUGUGCUUAUGUGUUCUGUAAUAUUGGCACAAGGCUGUGUAAUACACUGCAUGGUAAUCCCUGAGGAUCACAGAGGCAGCACAGAGGCAGUAUUUGGACUGGAGAGCUUCAAAGCAGAGCCUAGAAGCUGCAGGAACUGGUGCUGGCAUGGUCUUAGUUCCCAGAUAUUGCUUUCUCCUCUAUUCCUGAUGCUAUUACAGCCAUUACUUAACAUUGCAUGUUAAAUAGACAAAAUCCUGUUGGGUUAUAAGACAAAAUCAACAUCAGCCUGCUUAGUAACUUAGGAAGUAAUUAAGAGUUGUUUUAUAGGUACAAGUUCCCACUGUGCAAUAGACCAGUAAAACC